GAAGGGAUAAGUGCUGAAAGCAUCUAAGCAUGAAGCCCCCCUCGAGAUGAGAUUUCCCAUCACGUAUGUGAGUAAGAUCCCUAGAAGAUGACUAGGUAGAUAGGUCAGAGAUGGAAGCAUGGCGACAUGUGGAGUUGACUGAUACUAAUCGAUCGAGGACUUAACCACAA
rnacentral:rRNA from 1 species